AAACCAGCACCUCAAGUGGUCAGGAUGAUUAUUGGGCCUAAAGCAUCCGUAGCCUGUUCUGUAAGUUUCCGGUUAAAUCCAUUAGCUCAACUAAUGGGCCGCCGAAAAUACUGCAGAACUAGGGAGUGGGAGAGGUAGACGGUACUCGGUAGGAAGGGGUAAAAUCCUUUGAUCUAUUGAUGACCACCUGUGGCGAAGGCGGUCUACCAGAACACGUUCGACGGUGAGGGAUGAAAGCUGGGGGAGCAAACCGGAUUAGAUACCCCAGUAGUCC
rnacentral:rRNA from 1 species